rnacentral:pre_miRNA from 1 species
AAUAAGUGUAUUUUUACGUUUUUUGUUUAACGUUUGAUCGUUCGUCUUAUUUAAAAAUCAUGAUUAGUAUUUUUAUCAUUAUUAGAUGAUAAAACAUGUAUAGUACUCUAUGUCUGACUAUUUUUUUAAUAUUUUAAUAAAAUUUUCAAAUAAAACAUGGUUAAAAGUUGGACACGGAAAUCUAUAAAUGCAAUUAUA